UGUACGGACUUUGCCAGAGAUGGCUUAGUGCUCGAAAGAGAACCGUAACACAGGUGCUGCAUGGCUGUCGUCAGCUCGUGUCGUGAGAUGUUGGGUUAAGUCCCGCAACGAGCGCAACCCUUGUCAUUAGUUGCUACAUUCAGUUGGGCACUCUAAUGAGACUGCCGGUGACAAACCGGAGGAAGGUGGGGAUGACGUCAAGUCCUCAUGGCCCUUAUAGGUGGGGCUACACACGUCAUACAAUGGCUGGUACAAAGGGUUGCCAACCCGCGAGGGGGAGCUACACUCGACUGCGUGAAGUCGGAAUCGCUAGUAAUCGUGGAUCAGAAUGUCACGGUGAAUACGUUCCCGGUCUGGUUACACAC
rnacentral:rRNA from 1 species